rnacentral:rRNA from 1 species
GUGACAGCCGCCGCGGUAAUACGUAGGGGGCUAGCGUUGUCCGGAAUCAUUGGGCGUAAAGAGCGUGUAGGCGGCCCUGUAAGUCCGCUGUAAAAGUCAAAGGCUCAACCUUUGAAUGUCAGUGGAUACUUCCGGGCUAGAGUCCGGAAGAGGCGAGUGGAAUUCCUGGUGUAGCGGUGGAAUGCGCAGAUAUCAGGAGGAACACCAACGGCGAAGGCAGCUCGCUAGGACGGUACUGACGCUGAGACGCGAAAGCGUGGGGAGCGAACAGGAUUAGAAACCCGCGUAGUCC